CAUGGUGGCGUUGUGAGGAGAAGGUUGUAUGCAAGGAUCUUUAGCUGUAGGGAUGUCUAGAGAUUGGAGGGCUCUAAGUUGUUUGGGGUUUAAAGUGGAGUUAAUGGAGGGAAAGGGGGAUUUGGUGGUCGGUGGAGUAGGAGAGGAGGUGGGGGAGGGAGUUUUGGUGGUGGGUGCAGUAGGAGAGGAGGCUGGGGAGGGAGAGGGUGGAAGAGUGGCAAUGGGAGAGGCAGAGGCAGCUUCAGUGGUGGUGGCGGAGAUGAGGAAGAGGAGGAGGAGAGUGAGGAGGAGGGGUGGUGGAGGUGGUGACAUUGUGGGGAGGGACAGAGAA
rnacentral:lncRNA from 1 species